UGUGGGUGUAGCUCAGGGGCAGAGCAGCCGGCUUUUAACCGGCAGGCCAGGGUUCGACUCCCUGCGCCCGCACCC
rnacentral:tRNA from 1 species